AUUGAACGCUGGCGGCAGGCCUAACACAUGCAAGUCGAGCGAGCGGCGGACGGGUGAGUAAUGUAUGGGGACUGCCCGAUCGAGGGGGAUAACUAAUGGAAACGGUGGCUACUACCGCAUACUAUCGGAUAACCCAUAUGGGAUUAGCUAGUAGGUUGGGUAAAGGCUCACCUAGGCGACGAUCUCUAGCUGGUCUGAGAGGAUGAUCAGCCACACUGGAACUGAGACACUGCCCAGCCUCCUACGGAGGCAGCAGUGGGGAAUAUUGCACAAUGGGCGCAAGCCUGAUGCAGCCAUGCCGCGUGUGUGAAGAAGGCCUUAUGGUUGUAAAGUACUUUCAUCGGGGAGGCGUUAUCCGCAGAAGAAGCACCGGCUAACUCCGUGCCAGCAGCCGCGGUAAUAC
rnacentral:rRNA from 1 species